rnacentral:rRNA from 1 species
GGCAGCGGCGGCUUAUACAUGCAAGUCGAACGGUAACAUGAGAGCUUGCUCUUGAUGACGAGUGGCGAACGGGUGCGUAACGCGUAUAUAACUUGCCUACUACAGGAGGAUAGCCCAGAGAAAUUUGGAUUAAUACUCCAUGGUACUUUUGGAUGGCAUCAUCUGAUAGUUAAAGAAUUUCGGUAGUAGAUAGGUAUGCGUCUGAUUAGCUUGUUGGUGAGGUAAGGGCUCACCAAGGCAAUGAUCAGUAGGGGUUCUGAGAGGAAGGUCCCCCACACUGGCACUGAGAUACGGGCCAGACUCCUACGGGAGGCAGCAGUAGGGAAUAUUGGGCAAUGGAGGCAACUCUGACCCAGCCAUGCCGCGUGUAGGAAGAAGGCGUUCUGCGUUGUAAACUACUUUUAUAUGGGAAGAAUAUGAUUAUGCGUAAUCAAAUGCCUGUACCAUACGAAUAAGCACCGGCUAACUCCGUGCCAGCAGCCGCGGUAAUACGGAGGGUGCAAGCGUUAUCCGGAAUUAUUGGGUUUAAAGGGCGUGUAGGCGGACAAUUAAGUCGGAGGUGAAAUAUCAUAGCUUAACUAUGGUGCUGCCUUUGAUACUGGUUGUCUUGAGUUCUGUAGAGGUAGGCGGAAUUUAUAAUGUAGCGGUGAAAUGCAUAGAUAUUAUAAAGAACUCCGAUUGCGAAGGCAGCUUACUGGACAGAAACUGACGCUGAUGCACGAAAGUGUGGGUAGCGAACAGGAUUAGAUACCCUGGUAGUCCACACCGUAAACGAUGAUCACUCGCUGUUGGCGAUACACAGUCAGCGGCUUAGCGAAAGCGUUAAGUGAUCCACCUGGGGAGUACGAUGGCAACAUUGAAACUCAAAGGAAUUGA